AAUUCUGCUGUGCAACUCCUGAAAAGACAGAACUGGAAGUAUAAACAGAUCUCAUGGAUUUUCUCAUAAUGGCCAGGUCUCAAGACCUCAAACGUUAUUGCAGAGAUCUGCAGUAUCACUUGACUUCUCAGAGGAGGGCUGCUACUUUGGAGGAUAAGAUCUCAUAUCCUUCUCUGAUGGCAUGACUGGCUGGGUAAAUGAGGGAAGAGCAGUGGUUGUUGUCUACCUGGACUUCAGCAAGGCUUUUGACACUAUAUACCAUAACAUCCUUACAGACAGUGACAAUUCCCCUGCCUCUUAGGACCCUUCUGUGUUGGAGGCACAGACUACUCUUCUGUAAUAUUUCUGGUUGAAGUCAGUUGCUCAGAAAUCAUUCAAGAAAAAGAAAUCUGUAAGUACUCUGUUCAAUUCAGUGUCAAAAUUUGUAACAACACAAUAUAGUUCUUAUAUUGAUCAAUGUCUCUAUAUGGUGAAACGAUACAAAGAACUUAAACUCCACUACAUAAUAUAACGCAUUUCAGAGGACAACAGUCUCCCUCAUGUUAUCAUGAAAGCAUAUUGAUCCACAAAACCACCCAUGUUUGUUUGCAUGCAUUUAAAUAAUUAAUUCACCGUAUCCUUUAAGCAAGGUAAAGUAAUACUAGAAUACAACUGCACAUAUAACUCACGACACUUCUAAUUCUCUGUGUGGAAAGAAAUUGUUUAUUGAUCAACUUGUACGUGGGAGACUGGUUCUAGAACAUAAGCUCUUUUAAAAUUUACCAGACAAAUAUGUUAGUAAUACAUUGUGAGAAUAAGAGUCUUUGCACUGAAGGGAAACAUGUUUAGGAAGACCCAUCAUAAUACCCAUCUGUAAAAUCUUUAACCUUUGCAUUUUUACAAAUAAUUGCAGUUUUACAUAUAUGUGCUAACAUCUUUUAUUACCCAUAGCUCUAUGGGCUAGCUGAAACAUAUUUGUAAAUAUAUUUCAAAAUGUUCAUACUAAUCAAAGUAACUAUAGGUUACUGUGUCUGUUAAGUAGACUAACAAAACAUUACUUGAAAAUUGAUGGCCUUUAUUUCCAAAUACAAUAACGAAGAAAUAGCUCAAUUGGAGUCCACAUAAAAGUAAUGAAAAAUUAACGCAUUCUAUAAGUAUUCCUAUUCCUAUGAAUAUUGCAAACAAGAAAGUCCAGUCUUUUCCUUUAAGAUUGUUUCACUGAAUAUGAAAGCUGAUUGUGUUUUGCUUUGAAAAAAAUGCAUUAAGAAAAUGAAAGAAAGCUUUUUUUUUCCGUGUUUAAAUAAUGGUGUCCAAUGCUGAGAGGUUCUCCUAUACUACUUUGACAUCUGCUCUUCCACCACCACAGCACAUCGGCACUCUGUAGAACAGUAGAAAUAUCUCAGUCUUGGAAGUCUUGUGUCCUUUAUGUGAAAGAACUGAAGAUGGAUGAUAGGCUGAAGGAGAGUUUGUGGGUUAGCAUUAAAGAGAGGACUGGAAAAGGUGGCAUUAUUGGAAUGUAUCCUUGGUGAAAGAAGAUCAAGUCUGGGAAUGUUUAAGCAGCUUGGACAUCCAUAGGUACAUGGACCCUGAUGAGAUGCCCAUAAAAAUGUUGAGCGAAUUGGCAGAUCAUUUCAAGAUCACUGUCAACAACCUUUUAUCAAUCAUGGCAACUGGGAGAAGUGCCCGAAGACUGGAGGAAAGAGAAUGUCACUUCUGUCUUCAAGGACAAGUAGGAAGACCCAAGGAACUACAGUCUAGUCAGCCCAACCUCAAUCCCUUAGCAUGUGAUAGAGCAGCUAAUCCUGGAAACGAUUUUGAUGCAUAUGAACAACAAGAGAAUCAUGAGGCAUAGUCAGCAUGGCUUCACAAAGGGAAAUUCAUGAUUAACCAACUUGAUUAACCUCUACAAUGAAGUGUCCACAAAGAUGAUAAGGGACUGGGGUAGGCAUCUCUCUGGUAUACCACUGGGAUCAUUUAGCCUAAAGAGGGCGCAGGAGGGGAUCUUGUUAAUGUACACAAAUAACUAAAAAGAGGGUGCAAACAGAAUGAAGAUAGGCUCUUUUCAGUGGUGCCCUGUGACAGGACAAGGCAAUGGGGACAAACGGAAACACAGGAGGUUCCCUCUGAACACAAGGAAACUUUUUUUUACUUUAAGGGUGACUGAGCACUGGAACAGGCUACCCAGAAAGACUGUGAAGUUUCCCUCCUUAAAGGUGGUCAAAAGCUCUCUGAACACAGUCCCGAUCAACUGGCUGGAAUUUGCCUUCCUUGAGCAGGCUGGUUGGACCAGAUGACCUCCAGAGGUCCCUUCCAACUUCAGCCAUUUAUUUUGAUUCAGUGCAUUGAGAAUGAGGCUUCUCUUCUGUUGUGGCAGCAAUGCUACAUAAAGGAGUCUCAGCCUCUGCCUUUCUCUCCACUGUCAGAAACAUCUCCUUUCUUGGACAACAUGCCAGUGAAGUGUUUAAUUUCCUGACAAAUCAGAGGAUUUAACAACCAACCCAUGUUCUUUUCCUUCCUGACUUCAGAAAACUGAGAAAAAUUAGAAAGGUGAGAACAGACAAAAGGUGGAAAAGUUUGGAAAUAUUUUCUCUCUUAAUACUUUCAUGCAUGCAAUGUUUUUAGAGCCCGAGCCUAAAAAAAUGCUGUAUUUACUUUCUUGUGCAUAUAAAACAAAAAAAAAUUCUUUCACAUCUGGGGCCACUAAAAAAGACUCUGAAAACUGUGAGCAGAAAAAUGUGUACAAAUGCUCCAGACAAACAUGUGAACACUAGACUAGCUGCUCACUUUUAAUGGAUUGUCUGAGCUUCAUUUUCUUCUCCUGUUCACUAGUACUUUCAGUCACCCAUUUCUUUGUGCUGUUUUCACUUGUCUCCCUGCUGCUACAUUUUGAUCUCUGCUUCCUGUCUUUCUCCCCUGCUGUUCUUUUCAACAGUGUCGUGCUUUCAGUUUGAUAAGCAGUGAAAAUUGCAAGAUUCCUGACCUCUGAAGUACAGACAAAACUUCAGAAAUCAGGAAUCUUGUAAAUAGUGCUUGGCUGCUGAUAUAUGGAAUACUAUUAAACAUCAAGGAUGAAAAAAAAAGGAAAGAUGUAUAUAAAAGUUCAUAUGCUGCAUUAUUGUGCAUAAAAUAACUUCAGACUCUGGCAUUCAUUAGUCUACACAUUCCUGGCACAGCUUGUUUGCUUUUAAUUCUGCAGGACAAAAGCAAUUUCAAGUUAAAAGUUGAAGUAAUUUUCCCCCCAAUUACAAAACUUCCAGAAGUGUUUAUCAUUUACAGUAUCCAAAUUUUUAUUACCUUUCUUUUUCUUCUCCCUAUUUGGACAAUAAGAAUGGAACAUUAUGAACAAUAGAUGGUGGUGCAUUCAUGAUUAACUUGUGUGAUAAAGAAUUCAUUUUUUUCUGAAAGCCUGUCAGGCAUGCCAUAACUUACAUCUAGUCUUUGCUAUAUGUGAAUUCUGGUGUAUUUGGUAUUCCAUGGUAUGCACUACUUGAAUCAGACAGAGAAGUUAAUGAGCUUAGCACAUGCACAUGAGAAAUAAUUCCUGGAAUGUUAGCUACAAGGUAGCAUGCACAUCUCUACAGAAAAGAAAUAAGCUCUUUUAAGAGCAUCUUUACAUAACACAUGGCCACUUAGUUCACUUCAUUACUGGGAUGUCAGUGAAAACUAAGUUAAGUUUCUACUGGUAGUCCAUCCAUCAAAUCCAUAUCUUUCCUGUUUAGAGAGAAGGAUGUUGUGGGGGACUGUGUCAAAAGCCUUACUGAAGUCCAGAUAAAUGACUUCCAUUCCUCUUCCCUUGUCCACUGAUGUAGUCACUCCAUCAUAGAAGGCCACUAGGUUGGUCAGAUAAGGUUUGCCCUUGGUGAAGCUAAGAUGAUGCCACUUACCAAAAUUAUCCAUUCAUCUUACACAAUACUAGUAUAUAAGUAUUAUACUAAAUCUUUAGUUGUAUGUAUUCCUCCAUGUUUGAAAGAGAAGGAAGUGCUCUGACAGCUACCAUGCUUUCUGGAUCAUCACAGCUUAAAGUGGAAGACUAAUUUCAGGUUUUCCAUUUACUAUCUGUAUGUCAAGGUAUCAAUAUUGUGUCAUUACUCUAUAUUAUGAACACUAUUAAUGUUAUCAUUUCAAUGUAUUUCAGAAUAAACUUUCAGGUCAAGUAAGUUUUCUCAA